UGAAGGUAUAGGACAUCCUGGAAGCUGAGCAGAGAAGCAUGCAGCCGUUCCAUCCCAGAGGAAGCAGCACCCCAUCCCUAUGGGCUGAGAAGCAAACGCUCCCUGCUAAAUGUUCCAUCACAAUCAACAAAUACAAGAGGAUCCACUGCUAGAAACUGGAGUUGAAUUUCUCUUUCCCUUAUUCUUUACCUCAGAUCUGCAACCUCCUGUCUGCUGAAUAACUGAGGCUCAACAAGAUGAGGGCAUUUGUCUAAGUCACAAUCCUCAGCUUUCCCGUGAGGCCGGGCUGGAGGGACUCUUCAUGUUACAUCUGCAGACAGAGGGAGCACACAGGGCCUGUGGACUUACCGUGCACACGACGAUGCGGACACACCUGCUGUGCCAGGGCAUCAAAGGACUCUCAGCUCCCAAUUUACCCUCCGAAACAUGCUCUGUGAUAAACCACAGAAUACCUUUCAGCGUUUUUCGAGUGAGCACGAUGCAAAG